GUUCAUUUAAUUCAUUUUUUGUCAUUUAAAUAUUACUAGGUGAAAUGACAAAUUGCAAUUAUUGUUUUGAGUCUUAAGAUGUAUAUAGUUGGUAAAACUUAGAUUCAUAAACUUCUUUGGUCAGUGUUUGAGUUUGGUUAUUGCAAUAAAGAUUGUACAGCUGUUUUCUAGUUCUGCUUUCAAUGGGAUCAUGUCAGUAGCUUCUUAUUGACCAAAAACUCUCUUGAGUUUAAAUGUGAAAAUGACCAGUGGUGGAGGAUUACUGAGAGCAGUCACAGGGUCACUAUAUUUAUUUCCAGUGAUGUCGGUGCUAUGGACUGGUUGGCAUCUGCGGUGGGAGCUUGCGGAGCAUUUGUUGGUUCCUCUGAGUUUUAUAAAACUCGUAGAAAGGGGAACCAAGUGCUGGUGGUCCAAAGAUGAAAUAAUAGAUUCGGUAGGUUCUUGACAUUGUUGGAGUUUGGACAAGAAAAGAGGCAUGGUUUCAUCGCUAUUCCAGAAGGGUUGAAGGGCGAGGGGUGGAGGAGGACAAAAGGGGUCUUUUGCAGAGGUUUUGAAGAAGCUGCUGCCAAGUAUGGAGGGCAGAAGGGAGGCUAAUUGGGUGGCUGGUGGGAAGGUUGUGCAGUUGGUAUUGCAGUCGCAGUAGCAGUCAUUUCACAUUCUGAAAUGUGAUGGUAUGUCUCCCACGGAUGGCUCUUUAGGGCUGGAGAGGAGUUCUCAUUGAUGGCCAUGUAGGAUGCAUUAUUGGACAUGAAGGAAAAAGUGGACUUUAUGUUGAAUUGGGUAGCGGUGGGACUGGGCUUGUUGGGCUUUGAUGGCUUAAAGAAGGGCCUUUUGGGUAAGUAACAUGGGCCAGCCUCUAGUGUGGUUUGUAAGAAGGCUCAAGAUUUGAAGGGUAAAAAUAAAGUGGAUGGGUCGGGCUUUUGGUUAAAAGCCCGAAACGGGUGUGUAGGGUUAAGAGUUGUGCUGUUGUCUUAGGAAUAUCAAUUUUGGCCUCCUCUUCUACCACUCUGGUGCCGAUACUUGCUCUGAUGGUCUCUGGCGACUCCCCUGGUGGUGUGUCGGAAAUGAAGUUGUCGUUGGAAGUGGAAGAGGGUGAAUUUGUGUUACGGAACGUUGAAAUGGAGGUGAUGAAUGGUGGGGAGUUUAAUCCGUUUGUGUCUCUAGCUUCUUUGGCUAAGGGUGUGCAUCUGUUGGAUUUGGUACCCAUGUUGCUUAAGCCUGUUUUCCAGUUGAUGUUUUUUUGCAACAUGAGCUGGAUGAUAGCUUGGGUUUGGCUAUUUUUGGAGACUUGCAAUAGGAUGUAUUACCUGGAGGGGACUUGGUUGAGCCCAAUUUAUAGUUGGUUUUAUUUGAGGGGGAAUGUUUUGAUGAAAAUGUGGGUAGCCCGACUCCCUUAUAGACUCUUCUGCCUCGAUCUUCAACUAGAAUGACCUCGGAUUGGGUUUUAAAAAAGGUUGAAGAAUUACAGGCCUAUGUGGGGAUAUCUUGUGAUGGUUUUGAAGAGCAAUCAAAGGCUCUUCUUGUUGGAAUGGAAGUUGGUCGUUCCUUGGCUUUGAAGUCAGCUUCCAAGAAGGAAAGGGAGUUAAGAAGAUUAAAAUGCUCCGUUCAUUAUGAUACCAAGGAGGGAAGGUAAAGCUCCUGGCUUGGAUGGUUUUUCAAUGACCUUUUUUUCAAGCUUGUUGGGAUGUUGUGAAAGAAGAUGUGAUGCGGGUUUUCAAGAAUUCUUUUCCUUUCAUAAGUUUGAAAAAUCUCUUAAUGUCACAUUUAUUGCUCUCAUUCCUAAGAAAUAUGGGGCUACAGAGUUGAUGGAUUUUCGUCCUCUCAGUCUUGUAAGUGGGGUCUACAAGAUAAUUUCGAAGGUGUUUGCUAAUCAUAUGAGUACGAUAAUGGAACAAAUUAUCUCUAAGUUCCAAAAUGCUUUUGCUCAGGGUAGACAAAUACUUGAUUCUUUUCUGGAGGUUCUUUAUUUUUAAUUUUAUUAUAAUUAUAUUCUGGAGUUCUUUGUGAGCUUGAUAUGAAAAAGGCGUAUGAUCAUGUCAAUUGGGAGUUCCUUUUCUAUAUGCUUGGGAGAUGUGGUUUCGGGGAGAGGUGGUGUGCGUGGAUUAGGCAUUGUGUCUCUAUUGCUCAGUUUUCAUUGUUAGUUAAUAGAAAUCCUUGUGGUUUUUUCCAUAGCCCUUGCGGUUUGAGACAGGUGGACCUGUUGUUCCCUUUCCUCUUUAUUAUUAUCGUGGAGGCAUUGGUAUGGUGGGUUGCUGUUAUUACCAGUUUUUUUUGUUUUGUUUUUGUUGUGUGGGGGGGGGGGGGGGGGGGGGGUUCUCUCUGGUUUUUUGGUGGGAAAUGCUAACAAUGGAUCUAUCACACUUUCUCAUCUUCUCUUUGUAGAUGUCACUUAUUUUUUGUGAUGCUGAUCGUGGGCAGAUUCAAGCCCUAAGGGCUGUGUUACUAUGUUUUGAAGCUGUUUUGGGCGUUAAGGUGAAUUUGGGUAAGUUUGAGGUGGUUCUGGUGGGGGAGGUGUAGAAUA